UACGGGGGGUGCAAGCGUUGCUCGGAAUUAUUGGGCGUAAAGCGCACGUAGGCGGUCCUGUAAGUCGGGUGUGAAAGCCCCAGGCUUAACCUGGGAAGUGCACUCGAAACUACAGGGCUUGAGUAUGGAAGAGGGUCUCGGAAUUCCCGGUGUAGAGGUGAAAUUCGUAGAUAUCGGGAGGAACACCAGUGGCGAAGGCGGAGACCUGGGCCAAUACUGACGCUGAGGUGCGAAAGCGUGGGGAGCAAACAGG
rnacentral:rRNA from 1 species